rnacentral:rRNA from 1 species
GACGAACGCUGGCGGCGUGCUUAACACAUGCAAGUCGAACGGUGAAAGCGGAGCUUGCUCCGCUGGAUCAGUGGCGAACGGGUGAGUAACACGUGGGCAACCUGCCCCUCACUUCGGGAUAACUCCGGGAAACCGGGGCUAAUACCGGAUAUGACCUCCUUGGGCAUCCUUGGAGGUGGAAAGUUUUUCGGUGAGGGAUGGGCCCGCGGCCUAUCAGCUUGUUGGUGAGGUAGUGGCUCACCAAGGCGACGACGGGUAGCCGGCCUGAGAGGGCGACCGGCCACACUGGGACUGAGACACGGCCCAGACUCCUACGGGAGGCAGCAGUGGGGAAUAUUGGACAAUGGGCGGAAGCCUGAUCCAGCAACGCCGCGUGAGGGAUGACGGCCUUCGGGUUGUAAACCUCUUUCACCACCGACGAAGCGCAAGUGACGGUAGGUGGGGAAGAAGCACCGGCCAACUACGUGCCAGCAGCCGCGGUAA